GGACUACACGGGUUUCUAAUCCUGUUUGCUACCCACACUUUCGAGCCUCAACGUCAGUUACAGUCCAGAAAGCCGCCUUCGCCACUGGUGUUCUUCCAUAUAUCUACGCAUUUCACCGCUACACAUGGAGUUCCACUUUCCUCUACUGCACUCAAGUCAUCCAGUUUCCAAAGCAAUUCCUCAGUUGAGCUGAGGGCUUUCACUUCAGACUUAAAUAACCGUCUGCGCUCGCUUUACGCCCAAUAAAUCCGGAUAACGCUUGGAACAUACGUAUUACCGCGGCUGCUGGCAC
rnacentral:misc_RNA from 1 species